rnacentral:rRNA from 1 species
UACGUAGGCAGCGAGCGUUGUUCGGAGUUACUGGGCGUAAAGGGUGUGUAGGCGGUUCUUUAAGUUUGGUGUGAAAUCUCCCGGCUCAACCGGGAGGGUGCGCCGAAUACUGAGGGACUAGAGUAUGGGAUGGGAAAGUGGAAUUCCUGGUGUAGCGGUGAAAUGCGUAGAUAUCAGGAGGAACACCUGUGGUGUAGACGGCUUUCUGGACCAUAACUGACGCUGAGACGCGAAAGCGUGGGGAGCAAACAGG